UACGGAGGGGGCUAGCGUUGUUCGGAAUUACUGGGCGUAAAGCGCACGUAGGCGGCUUUGUAAGUUAGAGGUGAAAGCCCGGGGCUCAACUCCGGAAUUGCCUUUAAGACUGCAUCGCUAGAAUUGUGGAGAGGUAAGUGGAAUUCCGAGUGUAGAGGUGAAAUUCGUAGAUAAUUCGGAAGAACACCAGUGGCGAAGGCGACUUACUGGACACAUAUUGACGCUGAGGUGCGAAAGCGUGGGGAGCAAACAGG
rnacentral:rRNA from 1 species